rnacentral:rRNA from 1 species
UACAGAGGUCCCAAGCGUUGUUCGGAUUCAUUGGGCGUAAAGGGUGCGUAGGCGGCGCGGUAAGUCGGGUGUGAAAUUUCGGAGCUUAACUCCGAAACUGCAUUCGAUACUGCGGUGCUUGAGGACUGGAGAGGAGACUGGAAUUCAUGGUGUAGCAGUGAAAUGCGUAGAGAUCAUGAGGAAGACCAGUGGCGAAGGCGGGUCUCUGGACAGUUCCUGACACUGAAACACGAAGGCCAGGGGAGCAAACGGG